rnacentral:rRNA from 1 species
UACGUAGGGUGCAAGCGUUGUUCGGAAUUAUUGGGCGUAAAGGGCGCGUAGGCGGUGCGGUAAGUCACCUGUGAAAUCUCCUGGCUCAACUGGGAGCUUGCAGGCGAAACUGCCGUGCUGGAGUGUGGGAGAGGUGCGUGGAAUUCCUGGUGUAGCGGUGGAAUGCGCAGAUAUCAGGAGGAACACCGAUGGCGAAGGCAGGUCACUGGGCCGCAACUGACGCUGAGGAGCGAAAGCAUGGGGGAGCGAACAGG